CCCCUUUUCAUGGGCACUGGAACCACCUAUAUCUCUCUUGCCGGGGCUUGCUCCGGCUAUGGCGAUAAACGGUCGGUGUAAUAAACCUAUUGGACCCGGGGGCGGUACCCGGCGCCUCCACCAAAAACCGGUCGGUCCUCGAUGACCGGCUUUUGAUGGGGGCGAAAUAGGAUCGACAAGGGUGUAAAGAUCGAACUUUUGCUCGGCAUGAUACCGCCGUUAUCGGGUCACAAGUGUAGUUGCAAACGACAACAACGCUAAGGGUUAUGCUCUCGCUGCCUAAUGGCGGUGCGGGAAAUCCGAACCAAGUCCUCUAGGUUAGCCCCUUGAGGCGGGGUCCGAAGGCACCUGGCAACAGAAGCCUUCACC
rnacentral:tmRNA from 1 species